UUUCCUCCAAAUUAGGUUGCACCCUUCCCAUUUUGAAAAUAGUUUUACUUUUUUUUCUUCUUUCAAAAUGAGCUAUUCCUUGAACAUUUUUACCUUUUUUACUCUGCUCAUCUUCUUCAUUUUUUGUUUAUUGUGUUGUCAAAUUAAGAUUGCUGUCUAGCCAUUUGUAGAUUCUUCAUGGAAAAUCAUUCAAUGUUUCAGGACCAGCUGCAACUUUCAACUUAAACUCGAGGACGAGUUUUAUCCUCGGGGAGGGAAAUUGAUGUAAUUAAUUUUAUUUAGUCUUCUUAAUCGUUAAGACUUAGUUUUCUAAUUACUUUUCAGUUCUCUAAUUUUCUUAGUUUAAUUUCCUUUUCAAUUCCCUAAUUGUCUUAGUUAAGGAUUUAGUUUCCUUUUUAGUUUUAGGUUAAACCUAUAAAAUUAGGCUAUAAAGAGAUCGUAAUUUUUUAAAAGAAACAAAUUUUCUCAGAUUUGAUUUGAGUUGCAUCAUUCUACAUUGUUUAGACGCAAAAGUUUCACUCUGUAGUGAUUUUGGUGGGUCAUAUCAGUUGCAAGGCUGUUUCUAACGUAUGUAACUCAGAUUACAGGGAAGUAAAUCUCAUUUGAGUGAAUGGAAGAUGACAGAUUGAGUCUGUUGACUGCUUUGCUAGGAGGUUGCUAUCUGCUCAAAAUCCAGAUCGUAGAGUUUCGGAAGGUGGAAACCAAGGAGAAUUCUUCUCUGUUGACUGAUUUUCAAUUACCCUUCUGGAUUUUCAAGCAAAGAUAGAUUUUUUAGUCCCUUCCUCUCUCCAAAUAGAAACGUUCUUCAUAAAAGGGACGAAACAAAUAUUUAUUCAUUGUAUUUUAAAAGGAGUUUGUUGUACAGUCCUGGAACCCCCCACUCCUGGUGUUACACCAGAACGAGUAAAAACUUUGGUCUAUUGGGUAAGAAGUGUUAAAAGAAACGGCUAGUAUAUUAGCACAAAACUAUGGCAAGUCAAGAAAACAUAAAGUUGCUCUGGCCUUAUGAGAAACCGAAUCACAAAUAAAUUACAAAAAGCCCGUACUUGGAUGAUUGGUGCAAUUUAAUCUUUCUUCAGUCACUUUCAUGCUCUGUCUCUUCAUUUUUUAACAUCGACUGAGCCUCGCGACGUUUUCCACCACUCAUCAGGUUGGCAAGCUCUUGUAUGGAGCAAGAAGUGCUUCGUUUCAUCUUGUCACCAAGUAUCGCAACCUGAUCCUUGAACCCUAUCCCCAGAAGUCGGUCCCUCAACAACUCAACAGUAGCGAUAUAUGGAGGUAUUCCCUCAUCAAUCAUCAUUUCAAAGUACUUACAUGCUUCUUCUAACUUCCAUUUUUUCUUGCAGAAACCAUGAAUCAUGACAGCAUAAGUUGAAACAGAAGGGUAAAAUCCUCUCUUUCCCAUACUCUCCCACACUUCAUUGGCUCUGUCAAAUCUUCCCACCCUUACUAGCAAUUUCAGAACCAUAUUGUAAGUAUGUUUAUCUGGAACACAUUUGUCCCUAUCCAUUCUCUUUACCAAGUUAAGAGCACUAUUGACCUCGCUAUGAUCACAAUGAUAAGCUUGGAUUGCAUUGUAGGACCAUGUAUCUGGAGUAACUCCUCUCUCAAUCAUUUCGUCCAAAAUUUGGUAAGCUUCUUCCACGUUUUGAUCUUUACAAAGCUUCUUGAUAACACAAUUAUAAGUAAACACAUUAGGAAGAAGGUUUUUCCUCUUCGUUCUUUCUAAGACCCUAUAAACCGUAUGCAAAUCAUUUUCUUGACAACUUGAGCGGAUGAAAAUUGAAUACGUAUCAGCAUCUGGGUCAACGCCAUUUGAAUCCAUCUCCAGAAACAUCUUGUACGCUUCAUCCCUUUUCCCACCUUUGCACAGAGCUUCCAAGAGACUAUUGUAAGCAAGCACAUCAAUCAAACAACCUCGUUCCCGCAUUUCAUCAAACACCUUCUGGGCAUUGUUUGAAUCACCCACAACGCCCCAACCCCUAGUCAAAAUGCUGUAAGUUUUCACACUCGGAUUAAACACACUCUUAACUUUAUCAAAAAACUGUUGAGCAUGAGCCACAUGUUUCCUCUUGCAUAGAGUAUACAAGAGCUUAUCAAGAUCAUCAACACCAGCCCUAAUCCCAAACUCCCCCAUUCGAUUGAAAGCUCGAAUGGCAUCUUGAGGCAAAUCAGCCC
rnacentral:lncRNA from 1 species